rnacentral:rRNA from 1 species
GAUGAACGCUGGCGGCGUGCCUAAUACAUGCAAGUCGAGCGAACGGACGAGAAGCUUGCUUCUCUGAUGUUAGCGGCGGACGGGUGAGUAACACGUGGAUAACCUACCUAUAAGACUGUGAUAACUUCGGGAAACCGGAGCUAAUACCGGAUAAUAUUUUGAACCGCAUGGUUCAAAAGUGAAAGACGGUCUUGCUGUCACUUAUAGAUGGAUCCGCGCUGCAUUAGCUAGUUGGUAAGGUAACGGCUUACCAAGGCAACGAUGCAUAGCCGACCUGAGAGGGUGAACGGCCACACUGGAACUGAGACACGGUCCAGACUCCUACGGGAGGCAGCAGUAGGGAAUCUUCCGCAAUGGGCGAAAGCCUGACGGAGCAAAGCCGCGUGAGUGAUGAAGGUCUUAGGAUCGUAAAACUCUGUUAUUAGGGAAGAACAUAUGUGUAAGUAACUGUGAACAUCUUGACGGUACCUAAUCAGAAAGCCACGGCUAACUACGUG